CCCCUAGAUGUUCUGGGCCGCACGCGCGCUACACUGAACAGUUCAACAAGUCUUAACCUUGGCCGAUAGGUCUGGGUAAUCUUUGAACGCUGUUCGUGAUUGGGAUAGACCUUUGCAAUUAUGGGUCUUCAACGAGGAAUUCCUAGUAAACGCAAGUCAUCAGCUUGCAUUGAUUACGUCCCUGCCCUUUGUACACACCGCCCGUCGCACCUACCGAUUGAAUGGUCCGGUGAAUUGUUUGGACUGCUGUCAGUCUUUUUGGCUGUCGGCGAGAAGCUCUGUGAACCUUAGCACCUAGAGGAAGGAGAAGUCGUAACA
rnacentral:rRNA from 1 species